UUUUCUAUGCGUUUAUAUGUAACUUAAUCAACCACCAGAAACACUAGUGGAGUCAAGUUUUAGACCUGUAGAAUGCUAAACUUAUUGGUUUGGGGUCAUAAAGUUUUGAUUUUGAAUUUUUUUUCUUUUCAAAUAUGCUGGCAUGUUACUGGACAUAGAGAGAAAUAUUGCAAUAGAAUAUUAGCUAGAAGCCUACAGUUCAAUCUUUUUCUUGGGACAUUAAAUUUAAAGUUUGGGACUCUGUGAUUUUCACUAAACUAAUACAUGUUAUCUGAGAUACCAUCAAUGUCCUGUCCAUAGUUUUCCUACUAGUAGUCUGGGAUAGUUGACAGUUACAAUCCAUUUAAUUUCUAGCUCCGAAUUUACUAUCCUUUUGCUUUUAUUUUGCCUUCAAUGAUUUAGAGAAGUGUACUAAUUCCAGUUUUGGAUGGUGGAGAUCUCAUUACCCUUGCAAAUACUUGGACUGGGAAGACAAUAGCCAUUGGCAUUCCGAGUAUUAAACGUCUUAGCUAAAUGUCUGAAUUAAGAGUUUCACAAAGUUUUUUUUCCGGGCGAGCUGGUACUCAUCCUGGAGUUUUGGUCUUAGCACCUACUCGGAAGUUAGCAAAGAAAGUAGAGAAAGAAAUUAAUGAGUCUGCACCUUAUUUGAAUACUAUUUGUGACUAUGGAGGGGUUUCUUCUGUCACACUGCUAAAUGCUCUUUCUCGUGGGGUUGAUAUUGUGGUCGGAACUCCAGGUCGAACCAAUGACCCGCUAAAAGUUAACAGCCUCAAACUGGGAGGGUUGUUUGGUCCUUGAUAAAGCUAAUCAUGUGAAGAGGGUUUUGGAAGUUAUUUUAGGAACUCUCCAUUCGAGCGGCAGAGCAUGCUUUUCUCUGCAACCAAUGCCUACCUGGGUUAAAAAAAUGGCAAGGAAAUAUUCGGACAAUCCUUUGCAGAUUGAUUUGGAAUAAUCCCUUUUCUUUUCUUUUAUUCUUGUUCCUUUUCCUUUUAUCAUGCUCAUGCCUAUGUUGAUUCUUGUUAUUGCAAGUGUCUGCUGUUACUGGAUAAUUGAAGACUUCACUAGCACGCAAUAAAUUUCCGGAGAUAGCCAUGGGAAAAAGAAAAGAAGAGAAGAGAAAGUCAUAGUUAGUUGUUACUUUUAGAGGGUGGUUAAGAAGGUCAUUAAGUUUAUCCGAUUUACCUUGGUGAUGGAUUUAAACCUAAGAAUCUGUUCCUUCUUUUGCAGGUUCGUGACGAAGAAGAAAAGCUGGCAGAAGGAAUCAAACUUUAUGUAAUAUCAGCCAAAGCAAUUUAAAACCGGACCAUUCUUAUCAGUGAUCUUGUAACGGUAUGAGUUGGCAGGCCCUGUCAUUCAAAAUCUAUUUAAGGAUGCCUGAGCCUGCAGGACGAUUGUCUUUCACUCGAACCAAACAAGAUUCUGAUGAAGUCCCUUUGGCGUUAGCAAACAGUGUUGUUUCUGGGUCAUGAUCAGGGCUAAGAAAUUAGCAACCAAAUAUUUGGACAAUUCCUGUCGUUCAAAACCGGACGAUUCUUCUUCUU